GAUGAACGCUGGCGGCGUGCCUAAUACAUGCAAGUCGAGCGAACGGACGAGAAGCUUGCUUCUCUGAUGUUAGCGGCGGACGGGUGAGUAACACGUGGAUAACCUACCUAUAAGACUGGGAUAACUUCGGGAAACCGGAGCUAAUACCGGAUAAUAUUUUGAACCGCAUGGUUCAAAAGUGAAAGACGGUCUUGCUGUCACUUAUAGAUGGAUCCGCGCUGCAUUAGCUAGUUGGUAAGGUAACGGCUUACCAAGGCAACGAUGCAUAGCCGACCUGAGAGGGUGAUCGGCCACACUGGAACUGAGACACGGUCCAGACUCCUACGGGAGGCAGCAGUAGGGAAUCUUCCGCAAUGGGCGAAAGCCUGACGGAGCAACGCCGCGUGAGUGAUGAAGGUCUUCGGAUCGUAAAACUCUGUUAUUAGGGAAGAACAUAUGUGUAAGUAACUGUGCACAUCUUGACGGUACCUAAUCAGAAAGGCACGGCUAACUACGUGCCAGCAGCCGCGGUAAUACGUAGGUGGCAAGCGUUAUCCGGGAUUAUUGGGCGUAAAGCGCGCGUAGGCGGUUUUUUAAGUCUGAUGUGAAAGCCCACGGCUCAACCGUGGAGGGUCAUUGGAAACUGGAAAACUUGAGUGCAGAAGAGGAAAGUGGAAUUCCAUGUGUAGCGGUGAAAUGCGCAGAGAUAUGGAGGAACACCAGUGGCGAAGGCGACUUUCUGGUCUGUAACUGACGCUGAUGUGCGAAAGCGUGGGGAUCAAACAGGAUUAGAUACCCUGGUAGUCCACGCCGUAAACGAUGAGUGCUAAGUGUUAGGGGGUUUCCGCCCCUUAGUGCUGCAGCUAACGCAUUAAGCACUCCGCCUGGGGAGUACGACCGCAAGGUUGAAACUCAAAGGAAUUGACGGGGACCCGCACAAGCGGUGGAGCAUGUGGUUUAAUUCGAAGCAACGCGAAGAACCUUACCAAAUCUUGACAUCCUUUGACAACUCUAGAGAUAGAGCCUUCCCCUUCGGGGGACAAAGUGACAGGUGGUGCAUGGUUGUCGUCAGCUCGUGUCGUGAGAUGUUGGGUUAAGUCCCGCAACGAGCGCAACCCUUAAGCUUAGUUGCCAUCAUUAAGUUGGGCACUCUAAGUUGACUGCCGGUGACAAACCGGAGGAAGGUGGGGAUGACGUCAAAUCAUCAUGCCCCUUAUGAUUUGGGCUACACACGUGCUACAAUGGACAAUACAAAGGGCAGCGAAACCGCGAGGUCAAGCAAAUCCCAUAAAGUUGUUCUCAGUUCGGAUUGUAGUCUGCAACUCGACUACAUGAAGCUGGAAUCGCUAGUAAUCGUAGAUCAGCAUGCUACGGUGAAUACGUUCCCGGGUCU
rnacentral:rRNA from 1 species